rnacentral:rRNA from 1 species
UACAGAGGGGGCAAGCGUUGUUCGGAAUUACUGGGCGUAAAGGGCGCGUAGGCGGCCUCUUAAGUCGAACGUGAAAUCCCCGGGCUCAACCGGGGAACUGCGUCUGAGACUGGAAGGCUUGAAUCCGGGAGAGGGAUGUGGAAUUCCAGGUGUAGCGGUGAAAUGCGUAGAUAUCUGGAGGAACACCGGUGGCGAAGGCGGCAUCCUGGACCGGUAUUGACGCUGAGGCGCGAAAGCCAGGGGAGCAAACGGG